rnacentral:rRNA from 1 species
GGUCAAGUUACUAAGAGCAUAGGGUGGAUGCCUUGGCACCAGGAGCCGAAGAAGGACGUGGUAAGCUGCGAAAAGCUACGGGGAGCUGCAAGCGAGCAAAGAGCCGUAGAUGUCCGAAUGGGGAAACCCGGCUGGAGUAAUGUCCAGUCAUCCAUAGCUGAAUACAUAGGCUAUAGGAAGGGAACUCGGGGAACUGAAACAUCUAAGUACCCGAAGGAAGAGAAAACAAAAGUGAUUUCCUAAGUAGCGGCGAGCGAACGGGAAAUAGCCCAAACCUGAGUCUACGGACGAAGGGGUGAGGACAGUCGAUAAAGCUGAGCUGAAAUCUAGUGAAAGCGUUUGGGAAAACGCGCCGCAGAGUGUGAGAGCCACGUACACGAAAGAGGCAGGCAAGCGAGA